rnacentral:rRNA from 1 species
UCCGUAGGUGGAUCGGUCAGUCAGAGGUGAAAUCCUGCAGCUCAACUGUAGAACUGCCUUUGAUACUGCCGGUCUUGAAUUAUCGUGAAGUGGUUAGAAUAUGUAGUGUAGCGGUGAAAUGCAUAGAUAUUACAUAGAAUACCGAUUGCGAAGGCAGAUCACUAACGAUACAUUGACACUGAUGGACGAAAGCGGUGGGGAGCGGAACG